rnacentral:rRNA from 1 species
CCUACGGGAGGCAGCAGUGGGGAAUAUUGGACAAUGGGGGCAACCCUGAUCCAGCCAUGCCGCGUGUGUGAAGAAGGCCCUCGGGUUGUAAAGCACUUUCAGUGAGGAAGAACGCCUGGUGGUUAAUACCCAUCAGGAAAGACAUCACUCACAGAAGAAGCACCGGCUAACUCCGUGCCAGCAGCCGCGGUAAUACGGAGGGUGCGAGCGUUAAUCGGAAUUACUGGGCGUAAAGCGCGCGUAGGUGGCUUGAUAAGCCGGUUGUGAAAGCCCCGGGCUCAACCUGGGAACGGCAUCCGGAACUGUCAAGCUAGAGUGCAGGAGAGGAAGGUAGAAUUCCCGGUGUAGCGGUGAAAAGCGUAGAGAUCGGGAGGAAUACCAGUGGCGAAGGCGGCCUUCUGGACUGACACUGACACUGAGGUGCGAAAGCGUGGGUAGCAAACAGGAUUAGAUACCCGUGUAGUC